GACACUAUAGCCAAGUGGUUAAGGCGACAGAUUAGAAUAUGCGUUAUCUGUUUCUCUUUGAGAGCGUAGGUUCGAACCCUACUGGUGUCG